CCCAGCCAGGGCUGUCUGGCUUUUAUUUUACAGCUGAGGCAGAGCAACUUCAAUACUGCAGAAAGGUCAGGCAAAACAAAGACAGUUUUCUCCUUUUCAGUGCAAAACAAGACUCUGCCUUCUGACAGAUAAAGACAGGGAAGUGUGCAUAUUGUUGUAAUUUUAUAAAGUAAAUAGUGUCUGACUUCUUUCUAAUUUGUUCCUAGAAAAAAUGAAUGUAGAAGUCCUGGUGAAGCUACUUGAAAUUGAGGUGGAAAAUGAGCUAAAGUAAAAUGUUUCUAACCAGGGUUUACAGAGCUGAGUAAAUAAGAAAAUGUUUUUCUGUAAACUUCAGCAGAAACCACAUUAGGUAAAUCAGUUCCAGUUCCACAGCCAAGAGGGGACAGCUGAGCCCACAGUAACAGCAUUUACAGGGUCUGGUGACCUUCAGGUUCUUUGAGGAGCUGUCCUUGUCCCAGGACAGAGCUGGCUGGCCUGAGCAGCAGCCUGGGCUUUUUCUAUGCAGGCUGCAGCUUCCCUGGCUGCCCCAGGAUGGUGUUUGCACUGGGAUGGAUCAGCUGGACUUAAAAAGAGAUUUGCCUGAUGGUGGCCUUUGCCAUGGAAUUGUCACCACACCCAGCAGCUCCUGCUCUCAGCCCUGUCCCUCCUUAAGGAGUUCCUGUGCUGUGCCAUGGAUGGAGGAAACACAGCUUGGCCUGAGCUGUGAGAACCCCCAGCCCUGGUGGGAGCACAAGGAGCAGCUGCACCCAGAGCCCUGCACAGGU